ensembl:lncRNA
GUUAGACUGGCGGUGGCUGAGUUGUUGUCAGUGUUUAGUAUAGAUGUAUCUAUUUAUUGGUUACAAGUAGUUCAGCUAUUGGCCCCAUGGGUUGUAAGCUGUCAACAACAUUGUGUCCUGUGAAAAGUGUUUGAUAAACGGAUUAAACCUUAUGCCAUUUAAUAAACCCAGGCAAAAUUCUUUGGUCGUAAUAGCAGUCAACCAGGAUGCAGAACAAUCCCACGCAUUCAAUGCAGCUGAACCAACACAAGCCCUCACAAAUCAUCAAAACCUGUUACAGAGUCCCGGGGAUGACCUGACAUUAUCACAGCUAAUCUCGGAAACCUUUCAUACACCUGCCACAUCCAGAAGCAACACAGAGGACAUGGUCUCCCUUCAGCGUCAGCUUUUGGAGGAAGUUAAAAUGCUGAGGCAUACUCAGGAGCAACUUCUGCAGGUGGAGAGGGAAAAGCUGCUCGUCGAGAGGGAGAAGCUUCGCCUUGCCCAAGCCAAGUUUGAUUUAAAAAAAAAAGAGUGUUGAACCUAGAAUAAAAUAGCAAUCACUGAGAG